CAGAGGGGGCAAGCGUUAUUCGGAAUUAUUGGGCGUAAAGGGCGCGUAGGCGGCCUUGCAAGUGGCGGGUGAAAUCCCUCGGCUUAACCGAGGAACUGCCUGCCAGACUGUAAGGCUUGAGACCGGGAGAGGUGAGUGGAAUUCCCAGUGUAGCGGUGAAAUGCGUAGAUAUUGGGAGGAACACCAGUGGCGAAGGCGGCUCACUGGACCGGAACUGACGCUGGGGCGCGAAAGCGUGGGGAGCAAACAGGAUUAGAUACCCUGGUAGUCCACGCCGUAAACGAUGAGUGCUUGGUGUAGCGGGUAUCGACCCCUGCUGUGCCGAAGUCAACACAUUAAGCACUCCGCCUGGGGAGUACGGUCGCAAGACUG
rnacentral:rRNA from 1 species